CUCUUAACUACUGCCUUUUCUUGCUACAUACUACUUCAGCUGUUCUCUCUUCACCAGGUUUCCAUUUGUGAUAUGUUUGAAAACUGUUUGCACAUAACACAUUCUCUGUUCAGUGCUGAGCUCCCUGGAGUUGCUGUUACUUUAGUGGGGGAUACAGAUGAGGCUGGUGAGGGACUAGAUAAUGGCUCUUUGUCACUGUGAGUAAUUCUCUAGGCUUGCAGUCUCAGGUUUCUAGUGGGUUAUUGUUUCAUUCUCACCUUCUUGGGGAAUAGCCAGCUUACAUUAUUUCACUGAACAUUUGUCACCCUGAAACUUUUCCUAUAAAACAAAGAUAAUUUUUUAACAUAGUAAAAUUGUUUCACCUGUAGUCCUUCUCUUCAGUUAUGAUUUUCAUCAACAAGGUUUCCUUAUUUAAAUACACCAAAGUUGAAACACCUGUAGCUCUUAGAUACUAAUUGAAAACAGAAUUAUCUGGAAACUGAUCAUGAAGACUGGGAAACUGUUCAGGGUUCAUAAAGCCUAUUCAGAAGUAAGAGAAUUAUGUAAGUUUGAUUUGGAAACCACGGUAUUAGAAUAUCCCCAGCCUGCAACAUGAAAGGAAAUGGAAUGUUUUCAGCAUGACUUUCCUCUCCACAUCCUUCUGGGUAGGAUUUCAAAAGACCUCCCAAAUAUCCAACUCAGUUCUCAUCCACACAAGAGUUGACUUAUAUCAGCCUUGGAGAUCUUGAUUUAGGGCACACAGAGAGAAGACUUUUCCUUGUCCCAGGUCCCCUGUAGGGUCUCCUGUCUUGCUACUAUGUCCCAGGCUGGACAUUUUAGGUAACUUUUUUAUUCUUGCUUUUUUUCCCCCUCCCCUUUCCAUAUCUUCAGUUGGCUGCUAUGGCCUACAUUGUUUCUGAAGUCUUUUUGUAUUCCUUUUUGUAUCCACAAUUUCUGUUUCUUUCUUCCUUCAGAGUGGAAAGUACAAAAUGUUGCCACAUUCCCAGGGAACUAAUGUGUAGAAUUUUAACAUUUAAAUCACUCGCCUCCUUGCUUUCCAGUAAUGCAUUGUGUAUUUGUACUUCUCUAGUUGUAGUUUUCUUAGUGGCAUUUGGCAUAAAGAAACAUGAUUUCACUUAAUGAGCUACAUUGAAUAUAGGGUUGUAGUGUGAUGGUGGUGGCAGAACUGUGUAGAGGACAGGGAGCUUCACUGAGAAGCAGAAUUAUGGUGCUAGUUCACGGCUUGCUUUCCCAAAGCAACCUCAUAACUCUAUGCCCUAGAAAAGUUAGAAAUGAGAACAGGUGGCGAUCACUUGGGAAAAGCUGAAAUGGUGAAUAUGUUAUCUGUGAUUGCUAAGGGGCUGUGGUGUUUCCGGCCUGUAGUUUUUCUCAUUCUCAUUUGAUUCAUUUCACAAAAAUCUGCUAGAUUAAUUUUUGCCCAAAUACCAUUUUUGCAUUCUUUAUGUUUACAAAUUCACAAUGACUCACCUUUAUUUUAGAAAUCAAAGAACUAUUGAAGCUGCUUUCCAGCCUCCCACAGUCUGGCCCAUUCCCACCUUUCUUCUGUUCUCCUUUAUGAACAUUUCAUGUCUGGCCAGAUUCAAUUGAUGUUUGUCCCUAGACUAUGUAUUUUCUUGCUGCUAUACCUCUGCGUUUCCUUUAAAAUACCUUCAUAUCUGACCCUCUUUGUGUUUGUUUGUUCAAGGCCUUUGGGCUUGGCCUGUGGCCCUGGAAGGUUGUAAAGAACCAUAAGAGUGGAAAUGUGGGAGCUCUUCGUGUAAUUAAAAAAAAAAUCCAAAAGACUUAUAUAAGCCAAUGUCAUUGCUUCCAUUAUCAAUGCUUAUUGACACAAAAAGGCAAUUGAAUUAGGAUCCAGAGAUUGAACACACACUGAAAAGAACCAUUCAAGCCAUUCCAGAAUUGCUUAUCUUUGAUACUUUUGUACUUUAGCAAAGCAAGUUUCUUAUUUUAAUAUGAAAGCCGUGGUUGAAUCAUAGAGCAUAUUGGAGAAUCGCAUUUUCCAGCUGUGAAACUUCACUCUGACCUCAGAGUAGGAACCAGUUCUUUGACUGAAAUGUGGUUUCUAUAACUGUAAAUGGAUAUAAUAAUGCAGCCUACCUCUGUGACAUGUUGAGUGCCUCUGACUGUAAGAAUAAUACUCAGCCCAUGAUAAGAGCUCCCAAAAGUAUUAUCUAGGUCUUUAGUAUAGUAAUAUUUGUAAUAUUAUGGAUAUGUUCUGAUGAAUUUGAUACUUUUCUUCCUCUCAGCAUCUACUAACUACAUUUAGUUCUGUGUCAAACGGUGUUUCCUGCUUUGAAAGUAAAGUCUAUUUCAAGCUAAAAUU